CAGCCGCCGCGGGAAUACGUAGGUGGCAAGCGUUAUCCGGAAUUAUUGGGCGUAAAGCGCGCGUAGGCGGUUUCUUAAGUCUGAUGUGAAAGCCCACGGCUCAACCGUGGAGGGUCAUUGGAAACUGGGAAACUUGAGUGCAGAAGAGGAAAGUGGAAUUCCAUGUGUAGCGGUGAAAUGCGCAGAGAUAUGGAGGAACACCAGUGGCGAAGGCGACUUUCUGGUCUGUAACUGACGCUGAUGUGCGAAAGCGUGGGGAUCAAACAGGAUUAGAUACCCCCGUAGUCCCUGUCUCUUAUAU
rnacentral:rRNA from 1 species